UACGUAGGGCGCAAGCGUUGUCCGGAAUUAUUGGGCGUAAAGAGCUCGUAGGCGGUUUGUCGCGUCUGCUGUGAAAACCUAAGGCUCAACCUUGGGCUUGCAGUGGGUACGGGCAGACUAGAGUGCGGUAGGGGUGACUGGAAUUCCUGGUGUAGCGGUGGAAUGCGCAGAUAUCAGGAGGAACACCGAUGGCGAAGGCAGGUCUCUGGGCAGUUACUGACGCUGAGGAGCGAAAGCAUGGGGAGCGAACAGG
rnacentral:rRNA from 1 species